UGCAGGUUUCAGUUCCAUACAGCCAAAGAUGGCUCAUCAGCUGAUAAAAUGCCCAAGUCGUUUUAGUGGACAGAGAAAAGUUAGAAAUUACUCUAGCAAUAUCUUCACGUUGCUAGUGAAUGCAGCUACCUAGUUUAUCCUACCUGGCUCAGAGGGAUGAUAUGUAUGCCAGCCGGCUAUGGCUAUCCAACACCGGAACUCUUCCAAGUCAAGGAGCAAGAAUCAAGUUGGAUAAACCAAGGAGAGGUACCUUGAACAAAAAAGAAAAUAAUUUAAAAAGAAAAACAUGUCUUAUUCAACAUUGAAUGUUUUGUCAAGAUAUUGAAAUUCAAGUCAUUAACAUGGGCAUCAUAUUUGUCUUUCAUUUCACUGUCAUACUUCAUCUAUAGAAUAAAA